GCAAGAUAUUUGUAAUAAUAUGAUAUUGCGCGUUAGGAAUAAAACCGGACAAAGUGUUCGGUGUACAGCGCCAUGCAGCGGUUGAAUUUUCUCGAAUGUUCGAUGCCCGGGACACGUCAGCUAUAUAAACCCGAUGGGUUCCACCGACCAGGCGCAUUCGUUAACAGACCUUCGUUCAGUUAGGAUACUGAAUACUUCAGGAAACCUUCCCAAACCUCCCUCCGGACCUCACCCAUCGAGGGACGAGUAGGGAACCUUCACCGGCUAAUCAACCUUUUCGCUUUUUAUUUUUUUUUUUCGUGAUCGUCCAAGGGCCUACGGGACAACACCAAUCGUUACAAUGUAGACGAGCCGGGCAUCGCUGCGGAGCGCGACAGUAAACCUGAACCCUACGGGGUCUCGGUGCUUGAACAAUCCGUACGCAACGAAAACUGGUCCGAUUAAGCUAUGAAAUACUCAAAUUUCAUGAAGAAUAAUACCUCCGAAUAAUAAUAGCUGUGUCGGUAAAAUUAGAGAUCCGCGUGGGCAUCACAUACAACACCAUCAGUAAGAGUGUAACUUCACAAUAGCCUAGCAGGAAAGAGCAGAAAGAAAAGAGAAGCCCACGGGAGAGACACGGUUGGAAAAACGCGGGGGUGUUGGAUUUACAAUAAAAAAAAAAACAAAACAAAACAAUAAAUAUAC